rnacentral:rRNA from 1 species
AUUGAACGCUGGCGGCAGGCCUAACACAUGCAAGUCGAACGAGUGGCGGACGGGUGAGUAAUGUCUGGGACACUGCCUGAUGGAGGGGGAUACCUACUGGAAACGGUAGCUAAUACCGCAUACCAUCGGAUGUUCCCAGGUGGGAUUAGCUAGUAGGUGGGGUAAAGGCUCACCGAGGCCACGAUCCCUAGCUGGUCUGCGAGGAUGACCAGCCACACUGGAACUGAGACACGGUCCAGACUCCUACGGGAGGCAGCAGUGGGGAAUAUUGCACAAUGGGCGAAAGCCUGAUGGAGCCAUGCCGCGUGUAUGAAGAAGGCCUUCGGGUUGUAAAGUACUUUCAGCGGGGAGGCGUUACCCGCAGAAGAAGCACCGGCUAACUCCGUGCCAGCAGCCGCGGUAAUAC